GGCGGGGGCGAGGGGACAAGGGUUAAGGGUCCAUUGAAGCUGCUGAAAACCCUCUGAAGGGGCUUUCCUGCCAGUUCCUGUCAGGAGCAAGUUAAGUAUGCUGUUUCCAUCUCAUUCACUGCGUUAGAAGUUCUCUGCAUUAGAAGCCACACUCCAUCUGCAAGGUUUUCCCGAUGGCUCAGCCAGUAAAGAACCCACCGCUAACGCAGGAGACACAGCCAAACACUUAUCCAUAGACUUUGGAUGUUGACAUCUGGAACUGAUUAACACAACAGGCUCUGUGAGAACACUUAAACAUCCUUCAAGAAGUCUACCUCUGCCACCUCAUCUCAUUUGAAGACAAAAUUUUUCAAAUGUUGAAAGCGGAGACAGAUUUGCCCAUUAUCAUCAAAAAGUAACUGAGAAAACAUGCUUCUAUUUGUAUUGGACAUUCUAUUACCUUAAAGCUGGUCUAAAAAGACCUCAUUUAAUUACAUCAGCCAGCAUGACCCCUGAAGGGCGAGAGGAUGGAUGGUCCGUGUAUCGAGCCUUCUCUCUCAGUCUGUUACCCAUCUACAUUUAUAAAAGCACAGAUAUAUUCAGAUGACAUUCCUCCUUCCUUGUAACUUGAGAAUUUUUUCAUGAAGUCAACAGCAACAAUGAGAUGAUAAACUAAACUCAAAAUCUUUUAGACUGUAAG